GCUCUCAACUCCAUGCGAUCGGGAGCCAUGCCCAAAUUGUAUUUGUACUGCUUCAAAAAAGCGUUAGCUAGGUCCAACCAUAACUAAAUGUGAUUCCUUUCUAGCUUCAUAUACCAACUAAAUGAUUCCCCGGUCAAACUGUCUUAAAAAUAAUGAAUCAUUAGCUUAUCAUUGUGAGCAUAAGAAGUCAUUUUUCGACAAAACAU
rnacentral:lncRNA from 1 species